rnacentral:rRNA from 1 species
GACGAACGCUGGCGGCGCGCCUAACACAUGCAAGUCGAACGGAGCUUAGAGAGCUUGCUUUUUAAGCUUAGUGGCGAACGGGUGAGUAACGCGUGAGUAACCUGCCCUAGAGUGGGGGACAACAGUUGGAAACGACUGCUAAUACCGCAUAAGCCCACGGUGCCGCAUGACACUGAGGGAAAAGGAUUUAUUCGCUUUAGGAUGGACUCGCGUCCAAUUAGCUAGUUGGUGAGGUAACGGCCCACCAAGGCGACGAUUGGUAGCCGGACUGAGAGGUUGAACGGCCACAUUGGGACUGAGACACGGCCCAGACUCCUGCGGGAGGCAGCAGUGGGGGAUAUUGCACAAUGGGGGAAACCCUGAUGCAGCGACGCCGCGUGGAGGAAGAAGGUUUUCGGAUUGUAAACUCCUGUCGUUAGGGACGAUAAUGACGGUACCUAACAAGAAAGCACCGGCUAACUACGUGCCAGCAGCCGCGGUAAAACGUAGGGUGCAAGCGUUGUCCGGAA